GUAUUACAGUCUUGUGCACCACCCAUAGCAUUGUUAGCGAUAUGUCAAGAGUGUCAUUAGUCUGAAAAUAUUGUGUAAUCUCCUGUUGGAUUUUUUCCUUUAUCUGUGCAUCUCUGAGAAGGGAGGCAUUCAUUCUAAACUUCCAUGGCGUAUGGGUACCAGGGACUCUCGUGGUGAGUUCUAUAUCCGCAUGGUCAUACCAUGAGAUAAG